UUGUGAUCCUUGAUGCUGUGAAAAUGUCCUCAUCGUUAACUUGCUAGAAAAAUUCCCUUUCAACGAAUGUGACCCAGCAAUCAUUCAAGUAAUUUUGCCCCAUCUUGCUUCUUAGCUUGUUUGUUAUAUAUAGUUCAUUGAUGAAAAUACCAUCUCAACUCGACCAUUGCAACAGGAAGAACAAGCAUCAAUUGGUCAGACUAACUUACUUAAUCUUGUAUGUCUAUACUACACCGUAUUGGACAUCAAGCUCAAAAAUGUGCCCCUGCCUACACCCUGCAAUGGUAGAUAAAUUCAGAAAUCGAAUUAGCAUGUCCAUAGUUCAACUAAGCAUAAGCAUGGCUACAUGAGAGAAGAGAUCCUAAUUUUAUAAAUGAAAGGAUCAGUACAUCUAAUUAGCAAUUAUACCUUCAGUACUUGAAUCUGUGAGUUGUGGAUGUGAAACUGAAUUGAUGUGGCGUGUUGCCCACUGGCAACUGCAAAGAUCAGAACCAAAGGGGGGCAGGGAGCAAGCCAACGAGGGAUGGAU
rnacentral:lncRNA from 1 species